GAGGUGACUGUGAAAGGACUAUUCAGUGAGUAUAUUGCAUCUCUUCAUGCGUGCAGCAGUGUUCAUUAAUUGUAAGUAUUUUUUUCUUAUGUAACUACAGAUUCCUACGAAGAAGGGCGAUCUAAGUUGGAGCGGUCGCGGUUCACAUCUGAUCUCUCGGACGAGGAGAUACGCCCAAAGCGUAGGAGAUUUCGCCCCACACGCUGGAGCGAGUCCGACUCAAGCUCGGAUGAAUUCCCGGAAGCCCCGAUGCCGCUCUGCGCACGGCAGAACUCGCCCAGUAGCCAGAGACUGGAAUCACAGAGUGCGAGCCCGGCAAGAUCAAUACACAGUGAAAUGUCGCAAGCUGCACUAAUGCGAGGUGCUAGUGGUUCGUCCCAGUCGUCUAGCACUUCGAUAAACACGCUGGCUCCCAGUCCACAAGAUAAAGGUAGCUAUAGGGUGUUUUCACUGACGUAAUUUCGUCCACCAUUUUGUUGUUGUGAGCUGUCUGGCGUGUGCCAAACUCGAGCAUUCCAAGGAUUGACACGCCCCCUCAAAUGCGUAGAGCACCGCUGACAUCAUCUCAACCGGUUACGAUGUAAUCCUUCAAUGUAGUAAAUUUGUGUGAAAAAACAAGCUAACAACAAAAUGCCAAAUUGACGUUAUGUGCGAACAACCUAUAAUGUAUGGCCAUUUUACAAAUGAGGGGCUAUGCACAUAUUGCUGCAAGUUGAGGUGCAAAGCUUGCAGAACCAAUUAACUUUAAUUUCAUUUCCGUGUGAGCGCUGAAGUUUUAUAUUUAAUCAAAUUUGGGCAAGCAAAUAUAUGGAGCACCAUGCCACCAAAAACAAGGUGGCUUUCUUCACAUCUAGGAACCUAAAUAUGAGAAAAAUCCAUGUCACCAUGUACCCUUCUUGCAUGUAGCCCCUUCAAUUGUCUUUAUCUUC